UACGUAGGGUGCAAGCGUUAUCCGGAAUUAUUGGGCGUAAAGAGCUCGUAGGCGGUUUGUCGCGUCUGCUGUGAAAACUGGAGGCUCAACCUCCAGCCUGCAGUGGGUACGGGCAGACUAGAGUGCGGUAGGGGAGAUUGGAAUUCCUGGUGUAGCGGUGAAAUGCGCAGAUAUCAGGAGGAACACCAGUGGCGAAGGCGGCUUCCUGGACUCAUACUGACGCUGAGGCGCGAAAGCGUGGGGAGCGAACAGG
rnacentral:rRNA from 1 species